rnacentral:rRNA from 1 species
GUGAGGAAUAUUGGUCAAUGGACGCGAGUCUGAACCAGCCAAGUAGCGUGAAGGACUACAGCCCUAUGGGUUUUAAACUUCUUUUGUAUGGGAAUAACGUGCGCCACGUGUGGCGCAGUGCAUGUACCAUACGAAUAAGCAUCGGCUAAUUCCGUGCCAGCAGCCGCGGUAAUACGGAAGAUGCGAGCGUUAUCCGGAUUUAUUGGGUUUAAAGGGAGCGUAGGCGGGCUGUUAAGUCAGCGGUAAAAUGUCAAGGCCCAACCUUGUCUUGCCGUUGAAACUGGCGGUCUUGAAUGCACACAAGGGGGAUGGAAUUCGUCGUGUAGCGGUGAAAUGCUUAGAUAUGACGAAGAACUCCGAUUGCGAAGGCAGUUCCCUGGAGUGCGAUUGACGCUGAGGCUCGAAAGUGCGGGUAUCAAACAGGAUUAGAAACCCUAGUAGUCC